GGGGGUAGGCCGGAUCCCGGGCUGUGUCCCCCGCGCCCUGUACUCCCGGUCUGCGCUGUUGGAUUCAUGCUCCCGGCAGUGCAGCCCCCU
rnacentral:pre_miRNA from 1 species